GAUGAACGCUGGCGGCGUGCCUAAUACAUGCAAGUCGAGCGAACGGAUGAGAAGCUUGCUUCUCUGAUGUUAGCGGCGGACGGGUGAGUAACACGUGGAUAACCUACCUAUAAGACUGGGAUAACUUCGGGAAACCGGAGCUAAUACCGGAUAAUAUUUUGAACCGCAUGGUUCAAAAGUGAAAGACGGUCUUGCUGUCACUUAUAGAUGGAUCCGCGCUGCAUUAGCUAGUUGGUAAGGUAACGGCUUACCAAGGCAACGAUGCAUAGCCGACCUGAGAGGGUGAUCGGCCACACUGGAACUGAGACACGGUCCAGACUCCUACGGGAGGCAGCAGUAGGGAAUCUUCCGCAAUGGGCGAAAGCCUGACGGAGCAACGCCGCGUGAGUGAUGAAGGUCUUCGGAUCGUAAAACUCUGUCAUUAGGGAAGAACAUAUGUGUAAGUAACUGUGCACAUCUUGACGGUACCUAAUCAGAAAGCCACGGCUAACUACGUGCCAGCAGCCGCGGUAAUACGUAGGUGGCAAGCGUUAUCCGGAAUUAUUGGGCGUAAAGCGCGCGUAGGCGGUUUUUUAAGUCUGAUGUGAAAGCCCACGGCUCAACCGUGGAGGGUCAUUGGAAACUGGAAAACUUGAGUGCAGAAGAGGAAAGUGGAAUUCCAUGUGUAGCGGUGAAAUGCGCAGAGAUAUGGAGGAACACCAGUGGCGAAGGCGACUUUCUGGUCUGUAACUGACGCUGAUGUGCGAAAGCGUGGGGAUCAAACAGG
rnacentral:rRNA from 1 species